rnacentral:rRNA from 1 species
CAGUAGCCGCGGUAAUACGAAGGUCCCGAGCGUUGUUCGGGAUCACUGGGCGGAAAGGGAGCGUAGGCGGCGUGGUAAGUCAGAUGUGAAAUCCCGGGGCUCUACCCCGGAACUGCAUCCGAUACUGCCAUGCUAGAGGAUUGGAGAGGUAGCCGGAAUUCUUGGUGUAGCAGUGAAAUGCGUGGAGAUCAAGAGGAACACUCGUGGCGAAAGCGAGCUACUGGACGAUAACUGACGCUGAGGCUCGAAGGCCAGGGUAGCGAAAGGGAUUAGAUACCCCAGUAGUCCCUGUCUCUUAUAC